rnacentral:rRNA from 1 species
AGAGUUUGAUCCUGGCUCAGGAUGAACGCUAGCGACAGGCUUAACACAUGCAAGUCGAGGGGCAGCGGGGCGCUGAGGCAACUCAGCGCCGCCGGCGACCGGCGCACGGGUGAGUAACACGUAUGCAACCUGCCCCCGGCAGGGGGAUAACCCGGAGAAAUCCGGCCUAAUAUCCCAUGACGCGCCCAGAGGACAUCCUCCGGGCGCCAAAGGAGGCGACUCCGGCCGGGGCUGGGCAUGCGGCGCAUUAGCCAGUUGGCGGGGCAACGGCCCACCAAGGCGACGAUGCGUAGGGGUUCUGAGAGGAAGGUCCCCCACAUUGGAACUGAGACACGGUCCAAACUCCUACGGGAGGCAGCAGUGAGGAAUAUUGGUCAAUGGCCGCAAGGCUGAACCAGCCAAGUCGCGUGAAGGACGAAGGCCCUACGGGUCGUAAACUUCUUUUGCCGGGGAGCAAGCCCCACCACGCGUGGAGGGGCCGAGAGUACCCGGAGAAAAAGCAUCGGCUAACUCCGUGCCAGCAGCCGCGGUAAUACGGAGGAUGCAAGCGUUAUCCGGAUUUAUUGGGUUUAAAGGGUGCGUAGGCGGCCCGACAAGCCAGCGGUCAAACCGGGGGGCUCAACCCCCCGCCGCCGUUGGAACUGCCGGGCUCGAGUGAGCGAGAAGUAAGCGGAAUGCGUGGUGUAGCGGUGAAAUGCAUAGAUAUCACGCAGAACGCCGAUUGCGAAGGCAGCUUACCGGCGCUCAACUGACGCUGAGGCACGAAAGUGCGGGGAUCGAACAGGAUUAGAUACCCUGGUAGUCCGCACAGUAAACGAUGAAUGCUAGCCGUCCGGGCCAAUCGAGGCCUGGGUGGCCGCAGCGAAAGCGUUAAGCAUUCCACCUGGGGAGUACGCCGGCAACGGUGAAACUCAAAGGAAUUGACGGGGGCCCGCACAAGCGGAGGAACAUGUGGUUUAAUUCGAUGAUACGCGAGGAACCUUACCCGGGCUCAAACGCCGCAGGAAGCACAUUUGAAAGGAGGUGCGCCGGUUCGCCGGCCUGCGGCGAGGUGCUGCAUGGUUGUCGUCAGCUCGUGCCGUGAGGUGUCGGCUUAAGUGCCAUAACGAGCGCAACCCCCACCGACAGUUGCUAACUGGCAAUGCAGAGGACUCUGUCGGGACUGCCGGCGCAAGCUGCGAGGAAGGCGGGGAUGACGUCAAAUCAGCACGGCCCUUACGUCCGGGGCGACACACGUGUUACAAUGGCCGCCACAGCGGGGAGCCACCACGCGAGUGGGAGCGGAACCCCAAAGGCGGCCUCAGUUCGGAUCGGAGUCUGCAACCCGACUCCGUGAAGCUGGAUUCGCUAGUAAUCGCGCAUCAGCCAUGGCGCGGUGAAUAAGUUCCCGGGCCUUGCACACACCGCCCGUCA